GACGUAGGGCGCAAGCGUUGUCCGGAUUUAUUGGGCGUAAAGAGCUCGUAGGCGGCUUGUCGCGUCGACUGUGAAAACCCGUGGCUCAACCAUGUGGUCUGCAGUCGAUACGGGCAGGCUAGAAUUCGGUAGGGGAGACUGGAAUUCCUGGUGUAGCGGUGAAAUGCGCAGAUAUCAGGAGGAACACCGGUGGCGAAGGCGGGUCUCUGAGCCGAUAUUGACGCUGAGGAGCGAAAGCGUGGGGAGCGAACAGG
rnacentral:rRNA from 1 species